rnacentral:rRNA from 1 species
UACGAGAGGCCCAAACGUUAUUCGGAAUUACUGGGCUUAAAGAGUUCGUAGGCGGCAUGAAAAGUAGGGUGUGAAAGCCCUCGGCUUAACCGAGGAAUUGCGCUCUAAACUGUCGUGCUAGAGGAAGCUAGAGGUGAGCGGAACUGAUGGUGGAGCGGUGAAAUGCGCAGAUAUCGGGAGGAACACCAAUUGCGAAGGCAGCUCGCUGGGACGUCACUGACGCUGAGACGCGAAAGCGUGGGGAGCAAACAGG